GCGAACAGUCCACUUUGUAAAUGUUUAGGAUGGUUGAAAUAAGCCGAGGGUAACACAGAGACAUCUGAACUUGAAGGUUAUUGGAUCAGAACAACCGAGUGAGACUUUAGCAAACCGAUCAGUGAGUUGAAAGAAGUUUUCUUCAGAACCACAGACCUUGGCGAAAUGUUGAUUGAGCUUUUGCGGACCAGAUAGCCUUGGAGUGGCGGGGAAAAAAAGAAGAAGUGAAGGACUUGUCUGCACUGACAGAGGAAGGCCCAGGGAGAAGUGAGGAGAUGGAAUUGGAUUUGAAGCUCUGAGGCAGGAUAUUAUCCAGGAAGUGUUGACGAACAUACAGGUGUUUUUCUGCAAGUGUGCUGCAGUGUUUCAAUGCUUCCUUCUUGGUGUCUGUCCAGUAACACCAGUUUUUUAUUAGUGCUUUUUUAUAGUAAACAUCAAAUAAAGUUACAGAUAUUUCUCUGGGUGUUUUGUUGAAACACUUGGGUUCUUUUUAACCUCUUUGAGGACCUUGUGCUCAUCUCUAUAAUGUCUGCGGUGAAAAUUAUUCCGAUCGAGGUAUGCUUCACGCCGAGCAGAGUCCAUCAGUACAGAUUUUGUACCUCAGUUUAUAAAAACAGAGGGUUGAGGCGCUCCCCUAUAGCCUGCACUUCCAAUCCAAUCUCAUUAAUUUGUGGACCAGACUACAAGUAGAUUUUGUUGUUGUUAGCACAAAGAUUCACAUAGUGAGUUUUUUUCCCCCUACACUGGCUCUGAAUCAUCGAUGUGUUGGUAGCUUGGCCAGAUUGUUUGGAUGAAGAUCAGACCGCAUUUUGUGAAUAAUCAG